UACGGAGGGUGCAAGCGUUGUUCGGAAUUAUUGGGCGUAAAGCGCGUGUAGGCGGUUUGUUAAGUCUGGUGUGAAAGCCCUGGGCUCAACCUGGGAAGUGCAUUGGAUACUGGCAAACUUGAGUACGGGAGAGGAUAGUGGAAUUUCGAGUGUAGGGGUGAAAUCCGUAGAUAUUCGAAGGAACACCGGUGGCGAAGGCGGCUAUCUGGACCGAUACUGACGCUGAGACGCGAAAGCGUGGGGAGCAAACAGGAUUAGAUACCCUGGUAGUCCACGCCGUAAACGAUGGGUACUAGGUGUCGCGGGUAUUGACCCCUGCGGUGCCGAAGCUAACGCAUUAAGUACCCCGCCUGGGGAGUACGGUCGCAAGACUAAA
rnacentral:rRNA from 1 species